rnacentral:lncRNA from 1 species
GUAUGAACCCUUGACAUCUGCUAUAUGAGGUGCAGGUUGGAGCACUGGCCUUACUUUACAGAUGGGACAGUAUCCUGUGCCGAUAGGCCGAGAAAUGGGUGGAGUGGGGCUCUGUUUCGAGGACUGCUCCCAGUCCUGAGGCUUCUGGCACUUUCCAGGCUACAAUACAGAACUGACCUCUGACCCCUGAAGCUCUUCUUAACACCACAGCAAGAGUUGGGCCCUCAGUGUGGAGGCUGCAGGGAACAGUUAAUCCCAUCACCCUGGGAGCCCUGACUCCGCUGCUGACAUGGCGGCUGUGCGACCUUUGCUCGCUGGCCUCCAACAACAAAAGACAUUAAAGUAGCAUUACUCCCCAUGGGCUGCUCUCAGGAAUAAUUAUGGCAAUGCAUGUCACAGGGAGUGAACACAAAUGGAGCUGCUGUCCAGUUCUGGGUCUCUCGAAAGUGACCCUGUCCUAAAGGCAAUUUCAUCUCAGGCAUAAAACGAUACUCGAAGCCCCGAUCCUUUACCAUUCACUAAUUUUAAGACAUAAAGACCGGAAGACUCUCACAUUGCCACUAUAAUUGUGUCAACACCCUGCACGGUGGCACUGCGAGAGACAGUGGGAACUUAGUUCUGGCUUCCUUAGUUUGAACUUUGCUCUAAAGAACUCACAUGUUUUGAUUUAGUUUUUUUUUUUUUUUUUUUUUUUUUGGCAGGCCAUGCAGGCCUGCUUAGAACAAGGUGACAAUAAGGUCAGAGUGGAAGCAGCUCACAACGCCUCCCUCUUCCAGGCAGCUGCCCUUGGGCCGUCAUCCAAGUUGGCAGCAAGAAACUUAACCCGGCCAAGUAAGAAAGUCAGGUGUGUGAGCACGCUCGACAAAGCCCGGCCGUCAUGGCCCAGUCUUCAGCAAAUGUUCCGAAGACUCAUGGCCUCCUGACCCAAUCUAUGUGGUGAACUCGGCAGAGCCGAGCCCAGAGGCAAGGCCACCACCCUCUCCUGCCUCCAGCCAAAUUCAGAGUAUAAAUGUUCAUGCCACAGUAUCACAGGAUUCCCAGCUGAGAAGAGAUACACCUUACCAUAGCAACACAGCACUUCCACUACAGAAACAGGAUGACCAUAAGUGGUGUUAAGACUACAACAGUGAACUGGAGUACAUUCGUUAAAAAUGAUGUGUAGUGGUGGUGCAUGCCUUUAAUCCCAGCACUUGGGAGCCAGAGGCAGAGGCAAGCAGAUUUCUGAGUUCAAGGCCAGGCUGGUCUAUAGAAUGAGUUCCAGGACUGCCAGAGCUACACAGAGAAACCCUGUCUCAGAAAGAAGAAAAAGAAGAAGA